rnacentral:pre_miRNA from 1 species
CCGCAGAGCCAGAUCCGGCGGAGGGGAGGUCAUGCCCGCCGGAUCAGGCAGCCACGACCUCCCCGCCGGCGGAUCCAGUCAACCGG